rnacentral:rRNA from 1 species
UACGUAGGGAGCAAGCGUUGUCCGGAAUCAUUGGGCGUAAAGCGCGCGUAGGUGGCCAUGUAAGUCCGCUGUGAAAGUCAAAGGCUCAACCUUUGAAAGCCGGUGGAUACUGCAUGGCUAGAGUACGGAAGAGGCGAGUGGAAUUCCUGGUGUAGCGGUGGAAUGCGCAGAUAUCAGGAGGAACACCGGUGGCGAAGGCGGG